rnacentral:rRNA from 1 species
UACGUAGGGGCAAGCGUUGUCCGGAAUCAUUGGCGUAAGAGCGCGUAGGCGGUCCGGUAAGUCGGUUGUGAAAACUGGGGGCUCAACCCUCAGAGGCCGACCGAUACUGUCGGGCUAGAGUCCGGAAGAGGCGAGUGGAAUUCCUGGUGUAGCGGUGAAAUGCGCAGAUAUCAGGAGGAACACCGGUGGCGAAGGCGGGUCUCUGGGCCGAUACUGACGUGAGGAGCGAAAGCGUGGGUAGCAAACAGG